UCCAACUUCACUGCAAACUGGAGAAACCAAAACUCCCUGAGCUGGAUCCAUGGGAGAAUGGUGUGUCAGAAAUAUGCUCCUCCUUGUCCUGGGAUCAAGCAUAAUGAUAGAUGUGCUUCAUUUUUUCUUGGCUUCCCCUGAGUACCUCCUCCAAAUGGUAACCCCCUUCUGGCAGAGCUUCUAUCUGCUUCCUGGGACUCAAGCGCAUGGAUCUCCUGGUUCUGGCCGGCUGCUUGCUUUCUCCACUACUCACUCAGGAAGGAUUCCUCCCAGAAGAUCCAGCUGCUUAUCUGAUGGGAGGAUGCAGCAGGAACAAUGGGAGGAUGCAGACUGAGCACCCUGGACAAAUUAUGAUCUUGGUUAAUGGAUGGUGGGACAGCUGUUUAGAAUAGUUAAUGAAAUGGAUGAAUUUCCUUCCCCUAGGCUGGUGCUGCAGACCUUUGGUGGACAUGGAGGAAUGAUGGGGUUUUCUACAAUAUGGACUACCACAAGAAAUAAACUACAGUAGCAACCAUUUCUGCAAAGUAAUUCCGAUGGGCAGGUUUGCAGGUGCAAGUAACUGUAUAAGCUCCUCCCCUGCCAUUUCUUUCAACAGUUCCUUUCUGAAGAACAUGGUAUGUGCUCCACAUCCAGCCAUGCUCUCACAAUAUUGCACAGUAUUUUCCAGAGCUUGGAAAAGUUACUUUUUUGAACUACAACUCCCAUCAGCCCUAGGCAACAUGGCCACUGGAUUAGGCUGAUGGGAGCUGUAGUUCAAAAAAGUAACUUUUCCAAGCUCUGGAUUUUCCUUGGUAAUGUUUGAGAAACAUGGGGCAGUUUUGCACAGUCAACAAAGCAGUAAUAUUGAAUGAGCAGGGGGUGUCAGCUUGCAUGUGCCUAUACCAUUAUAUAGUGCCACAUGUGCAUUAGAUAUCAACACACAUUUGUACACCCAUUUCCUAUGAUUCUUUCAUCCUAAUUUUGAGGUGGAAGAACUGGAGGAAUUGAGUGUAAACACAUAAGAAUAUGUGUGCAUGCCACUCAAUGCACAUGCGUAGCCAGUCAUUUUAAUGUACUGCUUUUAAUGGUUUUUAUGUUUUUAUAUUGCUGUACAACGUCCUGAUAUUUUGUGAGAGGGUGAUAUAUAAAUUCUUUUAUAAAUAAAUAAAAAAUAUGCACAAUAGCAGGCCUGUCUACCAUCUGUUUCUCACUGUACGUAUAGACCCACAUGAACUGGAUCACACAGACUUACCAUUUUAUCUUAGCAUUGACUACUAGGGAUGGACGACAUCAGAAAUAAACUGAGCUUCUUCUCCCAAAAUUGGAUUUCCCCCCAGUUUAUUAUUGCCAAACCAAAUGUGGAUUGAACCUGCCCCUACACCGCUAUGAGCUGCAAGCGCCUCUCGUCCCCAUCCACCAACCCAGCGGGGAAAAGGGUGGGAAAUCCCUUCUUCCUUGAUAUGCUGCAUAAAAACAAAUAUAUGAAUGAAAAUAGCAGACAAAAUGCAUUAUAUGAUGAGCUGUUUGUAAAAAAGUGUACAUUAGUCAAAACUGCCUACAAAAAUGUGUUUAUUAGGCGAAAUUCAAACUAAAAUGCUGAGAAUUUUCAUGAGGAUUUUUUUUUAAAAAAAAUGCAAAUUGCUGCAGAAAUGUGAAAAAAUGAAUUUAAGAUUGGGAAAAUGAGAAACUGAAACCAACAGAUCUUUCCAUCCCUACUGCUGAGUGAGCUCAUCUGAGAGUU